rnacentral:rRNA from 1 species
UACGUAGGGAGCAAGCGUUGUUCGGAUUUACUGGGCGUAAAGGGCGCGUAGGCGGCAGAUCAAGUCAGCUGUGAAAUCUCCGGGCUUAACUCGGAACGGUCAGAUGAUACUGCUUUGCUAGAGUGCGGAAGGGGCAAUCGGAAUUCUUGGUGUAGCGGUGAAAUGCGUAGAUAUCAAGAGGAACACCUGAGGUGAAGACGGGUUGCUGGGCCGACACUGACGCUGAGUGCGCGAAAGCCAGGGGAGCAAACGGG